rnacentral:misc_RNA from 1 species
GGGAUAUUUCGUCCAGCACUGCGAACACUUUUAUUAGGACGAAUUGAAUCCACCAGCAAGAGAAGAUGUGCUCUGAAGUACUGUCGAAGUGCGACACAUGUGUGAUAUGCUAUCUGCUUCUCAGAAGCAGUCAGAACCUCUGGUGGUGAUCUGUCACUCCGUAAUGACCCUGAAGCAGUUAAUGCCCCCGAAGAAGCUCCAGACCUCACUAAUGCAGCAUCUUGCAAGAGAUUAAGCAUUUUCUGUAAACCAUCCUGAGCAUCAAAAGCAUCUACGACAGCUCUGAAAACAAAUGAAGCCGCAAAAAACAAGGCAGAAUUUUUUCUGGCUAGAUCUUGAGGACAUUCAAGAAGCUGAAGCGCCAACUCAACCACCUGAUGUAUAAUGC